GUUCUCGUGGUGUAGUGGUUAUCAUACUCUCUUAGGGUGAUCUAACAUCUUGAGCUUUGCCUCCUCCUCUCUUCCGGAGAGGGAUUGGGAGUGGCCCCGGGUUCAAAUCCCGGCGAGGACC
rnacentral:tRNA from 1 species